rnacentral:rRNA from 1 species
GUGGGGAAUAUUGCACAAUGGGCGCAAGCCUGAUGCAGCCAUGCCGCGUGUAUGAAGAAGGCCUUCGGGUUGUAAAGUACUUUCAGCGAGGAGGAAGGCGUUGUGGUUAAUAACCGCAACGAUUGACGUUACUCGCAGAAGAAGCACCGGCUAACUCCGUGCCAGCAGCCGCGGUAAUACGGAGGGUGCAAGCGUUAAUCGGAAUUACUGGGCGUAAAGCGCACGCAGGCGGUCUGUCAAGUCGGAUGUGAAAUCCCCGGGCUCAACCUGGGAACUGCAUCCGAAACUGGCAGGCUAGAGUCUUGUAGAGGGGGGUAGAAUUCCAGGUGUAGCGGUGAAAUGCGUAGAGAUCUGGAGGAAUACCGGUGGCGAAGGCGGCCCCCUGGACAAAGACUGACGCUCAGGUGCGAAAGCGUGGGGAGCAAACAGG